AGUGAACGCUGGCGGUAGGCCUAACACAUGCAAGUCGAACGGCAGCACAGUAAGAGCUUGCUCUUACGGGUGGCGAGUGGCGGACGGGUGAGGAAUACAUCGGAAUCUACUUUUUCGUGGGGGAUAACGUAGGGAAACUUACGCUAAUACCGCAUACGACCUACCGGUGAAAGCAGGGGAUCUUCGGACCUUGCGCGAAUGAAUGAGCCGAUGUCGGAUUAGCUAGUUGGCGGGGUAAAGGCCCACCAAGGCGGCGAUCCGUAGCUGGUCUGAGAGGAUGGUCAGCCACACUGGAACUGAGACACGGUCCAGACUCCUACGGGAGGCAGCAGUGGGGAAUAUUGGACAAUGGGCGCAAGCCUGAUCCAGCCAUACCGCGUGGGUGAAGAAGGCCUUCGGGUUGUAAAGCCCUUUUGUUGGGAAAGAAAAGCAGCAGGUUAAUACCCCGCUGUUCUGACGGUACCCAAAGAAUAAGCACCGGCUAACUUCGUG
rnacentral:rRNA from 1 species